rnacentral:rRNA from 1 species
GCGAAAGCAGGUCAUAGUGAUCCGGUGGUUCUGAAUGGAAGGGCCAUCGCUCAACGGAUAAAAGGUACUCCGGGGAUAACAGGCUGAUACCGCCCAAGAGUUCAUAUCGACGGCGGUGUUUGGCACCUCGAUGUCGGCUCAUCACAUCCUGGGGCUGAAGUAGGUCCCAAGGGUAUGGCUGUUCGCCAUUUAAAGUGGUACGCGAGCUGGGUUUAGAACGUCGUGAGACAGUUCGGUCCCUAUCUGCCGUGGGCGCUGGAGAAUUGAGGGGGGCUGCUCCUAGUACGAGAGGACCGGAGUGGACGCAUCACUGGUGUUCGGGUUGUCAUGCCAAUGGCACUGCCCGGUAGCUAAAUGCGGAAGAGAUAAGUGCUGAAAGCAUCUAAGCACGAAACUUGCCCCG